rnacentral:rRNA from 1 species
ACAGGCUUAACACAUGCAAGUCGAGGGGUAACGUGAGGAAAGCUUGCUUUCCUUGACGACGACCGGCGCACGGGUGAGUAACGCGUAUCCAACCUGCCCAUAACUAAGGGAGUAAGCGGUAGAAAUGCCGCCUAAUACCUUAUGUGGUUCACUGCGGACAUCUAAAGUGAAUUAAAGAUUCAUCGGUUAUGGAUGGGGAUGCGUCUGAUUAGCUUGUUGGCGGGGUAACGGCCCACCAAGGCGACGAUCAGUAGGGGUUCUGAGAGGAAGGUCCCCCACAUUGGAACUGAGACACGGUCCAAACUCCUAGCGGGAGGCAGCAGUGAGGAAUAUUGGUCAAUGGGCGAGAGCCUGAACCAGCCAAGUAGCGUGAGGGAAGACUGCCCUAUGGGUUGUAAACCUCUUUUGUUUGGGAAUAAAGUGGGCCACGUGUGGCCUUUUGCAUGUACCAUUCGAAUAAGGACCGGCUAAUUCCGUGCCAGCAGCCGCGGUAAUACGGAAGGUCCAGGCGUUAUCCGGAUUUAUUGGGUUUAAAGGGAGCGUAGGCCGGAGAUUAAGCGUGUUGUGAAAUGUAGACGCUCAACGUCUGAAUUGCAGCGCGAACUGGUUUCCUUGAGUACGCACAACGUUGGCGGAAUUCGUGGUGUAGCGGUGAAAUGCUUAGAUAUCACGAAGAACUCCGAUUGCGAAGGCAGCUGACGGGAGCGCAACUGACGCUGAAGCUCGAAAGCGCGGGUAUCGAACAGGAUUAGAUACCCUGGUAGUCCGCGCGGUAAACGAUGGAUGCCCGCUGUUUGCAUUUGAUGUAAGCGGCUAAGCGAAAGCGUUAAGCAUCCCACCUGGGGAGUACGCCGGCAACGGUGAAACUCAAAGGAAUUGACGGGGGCCCGCACAAGCGGAGGAACAUGUGGUUUAAUUCGAUGAUACGCGAGGAACCUUACCCGGGCUUGAACUGCCAGCGACGGAUUCAGAGAUGAUGACUCCCUUCGGGGCGCUGGUGGAGGUGCUGCAUGGUUGUCGUCAGCUCGUGCCGUGAGGUGUCGGCUUAAGUGCCAUAACGAGCGCAACCCCUGUCCUUAGUUGCCAUCAGGUUAUGCUGGGCACUCUGGGGAUACUGCCACCGUAAGGUGUGAGGAAGGUGGGGAUGACGUCAAAUCAGCACGGCCCUUACGUCCGGGGCUACACACGUGUUACAAUGGGGGGUACAGAGCGUCGGCCGCCGGCAACGUCGGUCCAAUCGCGAAAGCCUCUCUCAGUUCGGACUGG